AAUUGAAUUUGAGUAUGCAGGAUUUCUGCAGAACAAGCCCCGAUUGAUGAUAGGCGACUUCAACGACAUCAAAGGAGGAGAAGAAAAACAAGGGGGCAUCAUUAGAUAUGAUAGCAGAUGAAGACUUUACCCUGGUCUGUUUGAAGCUGUGAAAUAGGCGUGUGCACAAGAGUCUGCUAAUCUAUCCAAUGGUGAUAUACACUAUCUCAUACGACAGUGCAGAAAAGCUUUAUCCCGAUGGAGAAGUAAACAAUAUACCAAUUCAGGAAAGCUCAUUCAAGAACUAAAAGAUAAAAUCCAGUUUGCUUAUACUUCGCCUGCCAUUGAUUAUGUUUAUCUCUCAGGUCUGAAGGUGCAUCUUCAAUUACAAUACAGACUAGAGGAGGAAUAUUGGAGAAGAAAGAGUAGGGUUUUUUGGCUUAAAACAGGAGAUAAAAAUACAAAAAAAAAUUCACAGCAAAACAAGACAGAGAAGACACUACAACAGAAUAUCUCACCUUCAAGACGAUCAUGGGAAGUCUCAGUCUAAAGCCAAAGACAUUCACGCUCAUAUUCAACAUUAUUUUACACAAUAGUAUAAGAGAAAUGGAAGUUAUAUUGAUAUUCUCUGAUGGACGGCAUUCCUGUAACAGUUACUGCGGACAUCAAAAGGAAGCUCACUUCUCUAGUUACAGAGGAUGAAAUUAAAUCUGCAGUCUUCAAAAUGAACCCGGAGAAGUCCCUUGGACCUGAUGGAAUGACACCAAGCUUCUACAUGCAACACUUGGAAAUUAUCAAACCAGAUGCAGUAAUGAAGAAGAUGAGAUUCUGUGAUCAGUGGAGAAAUUGGGUUAUGAAGUGCAUUACUACAGUGACUUAUUCGGUGUUGAUCAAUGGAAAGCCCACGAAAACAAUAACACCAACACGAGGACUGCGUCAAGAUGACUCGCUGAUUUUCUGCAAAGCAACCGAGGAAGAAUGACGUAACCUAUCCCAAAUUCUUCACACAUACCAACGAGCUUCAGGCCAAGAAAUCAACUACAAUAAGUCUGCGAUAGCAUUUGCAAAAGGACUCCCCGAUCAUAUUGGUAGAAGGCGCAAAGAGGUUUUCCAGUAUAUAACAGAGAGGAUGAAGAAUAAGCUAGAUAACUGGGCUGAUAAAAGAAAUAACGAAAGCGAUGAGGAAGUUCUGGUGGUCCGCAAAUCAAGACCGUUAUUCCAUACCCUGGAUAGUUUGGAACAAGAUCACUCUAACUAAAAAAGAAGGAGGCUUGGAGCUUAGAGAUAUGUAUGCAUUUAACAAGGCUUUGCUUGCAAAACAAGCCUGGAGGUUAAUGACCCUUCCCUCUUCUUUACUAGCCAGAGUGUACAGAGCUAAAUACUACAGAA